rnacentral:rRNA from 1 species
AUUGAACGCUGGCGGCAUGCUUUACACAUGCAAGUCGAACGGUAACAGGGAGCUUGCUCCGCUGACGAGUGGCGAACGGGUGAGUAAUGCGUCGGAACGUGCCGAGUAGUGGGGGAUAACGCAUCGAAAGGUGUGCUAAUACCGCAUACGAACUGAGGUUGAAAGUGGGGGACCUUCGGGCCUCACGCUAUUCGAGCGGCCGACGUCUGAUUAGCUAGUUGGUGAGGUAAAGGCUCACCAAGGCGACGAUCAGUAGCGGGUCUGAGAGGAUGAUCCGCCACACUGGGACUGAGACACGGCCCAGACUCCUACGGGAGGCAGCAGUGGGGAAUUUUGGACAAUGGGCGCAAGCCUGAUCCAGCCAUGCCGCGUGUCUGAAGAAGGCCUUCGGGUUGUAAGGGACUUUUGUCCGGGAGCAAAUGCUGGUGGCUAACAUCCACCGGAGCUGAGAGUACCGGAAGAAUAAGCACCGGCUAACUACGUGCCAGCCGCCGCCGUAAUAC